rnacentral:rRNA from 1 species
AGUGAACGCUGGCGGUAGGCCUAACACAUGCAAGUCGAACGGCAGCACAGUAAGAGCUUGCGCUUACGGGUGGCGAGUGGCGGACGGUGGAGGAAUACAUCGGAAUCUACUUUUUCGUGGGGGAGAACGUAGGGAAACUUACGCUAAUACCGCAGACGACCUACGGGUGAAAGCAUGGGAUCUUCGGACCUUGCGCGAUUGAAUGAGCCGAUGUCGGAUUAGCUAGUUGGCGGGGUAAAGGCCCACCAAGGCGACGAUCCGUAGCUGGUCUGAGAGGAUGAUCAGCCACACUGGAACUGAGACACGGUCCAGACUCCUACGGGAGGCAGCAGUGGGGAAUAUUGGACAAUGGGCGAAAGCCUGAUCCAGCCAUACCGCGUGGGUGAAGAAGGCCUUCGGGUUGUAAAGCCCUUUUGUUGGGAAAGAAAAGCAGCAGGUUAAUACCCCGCUGUUCUGACGGUACCAAAAGAAUAAGCACCGGCUAACUUCGUG